rnacentral:snoRNA from 1 species
GUUGUUCUAUGAUGAUUAUUUUUUUUACCUACAUUGUCUGAUAUCUGUGAUAGAUACAUACCACUGAGGAGAAC